rnacentral:rRNA from 1 species
CCUACAGGAGGCUGCAGUGAGGAAUAUUGGUCAAUGGGCGCGAGCCUGAACCAGCCAAGUCGCGUGAGGGAAGACGGUCCUAUGGAUUGUAAACCUCUUUUGUCGGGGAGCAAGGCCCGCCACGUGUGCCUUUUUGCAUGUACUUUAUGAAUAAGGAUCGGCUAACUCCGUGCCAGCAGCCGCGGUAAUACGGAGGAUCCGAGCGUUAUCCGGAUUUAUUGGGUUUAAAGGGAGCGUAGAUGGGUUGUUAAGUCAGUUGUGAAAGGUUGCGGCUCAACCGUAAAAUUGCAAUUGAUACUGGCAGUCUUGAGUACAGUUGAGGUAGGCGGAAUUCGUGGUGUAGCGGUGAAAUGCUUAGAUAUCACGAAGAACCCCGAUUGCGAAGGCAGCUUACUAAACUGUGACUGACAUUGAUGCUCGAAAGUGUGGGUAUCAAACAGGAUUAGAUACCCUGGUAGUC